rnacentral:rRNA from 1 species
AUUGAACGCUGGCGGCAGGCCUAACACAUGCAAGUCGAGCGAGCGGCGGACGGGUGAGUAAUGUCUGGGAAACUGCCUGAUGGAGGGGGAUAACUACUGGAAACGGUAGCUAAUACCGCAUACCAUCAGAUGUGCCCAGAUGGGAUUAGCUAGUAGGUGGGGUAAAGGCUCACCUAGGCGACGAUCCCUAGCUGGUCUGAGAGGAGGACCAGCCACACUGGAAGUGAGACACGUUCCAUACUCCUACGGGAGGCAGCAGUGGGGCAUAUUGAACAAUGGGCGCAAGCCUGAUGCAGCCAUGCCGUGUGUGUUAAGAAGGCCUUCGGGUUGUAAAUCACUUUCAGCGGGGAGGCGUUACCCGCAGAAGAAGCACCGGCUAACUCCGUGCCAGCAGCCGCGGUAAUUC